GCCAGACUCCUACGGGAGGCAGCAGUGGGGAUAUUGCACAAUGGGGGGAACCCUGAUGCAGCGACGCCGCGUGGGUGAAGGAGUAUUUCGGUAUGUAAAGCCCUAUCGGCAGGGAAGAAGCAAGACGGUACCUGACUAAGAAGCCCCGGCUAACUACGUGCCAGCAGCCGCGGUAAUACGUAGGGGGCAAGCGUUAUCCGGAUUUACUGGGUGUAAAGGGAGCGUAGACGGCUGUGCAAGUCAGAAGUGAAAGCCCGGGGCUCAACCCCGGGACUGCUCUGGAAACUGUAAAGCUGGAGUGCGGGAGGGGCAGGCGGAAUUCCUGGUGUAGCGGUGAAAUGCGUAGAUAUCAGGAGGAACACCGGCGGCGAAGGCGGCCUGCUGGACCGUAACUGACGUUGAGGCUCGAAAGCGUGGGGAGCAAACAGGAUUAGAUACCCCUGUAC
rnacentral:rRNA from 1 species